UGUAAAAUCAUAGACAAAUCGCAGAAAAAAAAAACAAAAAAUUGGCAGCUGUGACGUUUUACUUACUGACAUUGACAUUUGGCACGAAAAUUUAAUAAAGUUUUCGGUUUUUUCGAUCAACUCCCAAGUUUUAUCAAACUUUUAUAAAACUUGGGAUUGUAUGUUCUGGAUUCUGUACCUCUUACCCUGUACUCUGCAAUAAGCUCUUACGACGACCCGGCUAGUUACAUCGGAUACUAAUUAUGUCCAUGACGAAGGAGAACAGACCGCCUAAAAGGCAACGAUCAGAAAACUGGUUGGAGGAAGAUAAGUGUUUGCUUUUCAGUAUUUGCUGAAAGAGUUGGUGAAAGAAAGAGUAAAUGCAAUCGAAAAUAAAAAUACAGACACUAACACGAAUAAACGGAAGGUUGCGGCUUGGGCUGAUUUACAAACAACGUUUAAUUCAAUGUGCGCUGGUAUGAACCGCUCCAUUACCCA